rnacentral:rRNA from 1 species
UACGUAGGAUGCGAGCGUUGUCCGGAAUUAUUGGGCGUAAAGCGUCCGCAGGCGGCAGUUCAAGUCUGCUGUCAAAGACCGGGGCUUAACUUCGGAAAGGCAGUGGAAACUGAACAGCUAGAGUAUGGUAGGGGCAGAGGGAAUUCCUGGUGUAGCGGUGAAAUGCGUAGAGAUCAGGAAGAACAUCGGUGGCGAAGGCGCUCUGCUGGACCAUAACUGACACUCAGGGACGAAAGCGUGGGGAGCAAACAGG